AUCCAGAGGUCUACGUCGAGAGCCACGGACCAUUAUCAGAUACUUUUCAAAGCUUUUGAAAUGCAAAUAUAGGUCCAGUCUUCAAAAGGCUAUGGUUUUCAGCUAUGCACACAGAUCCAGCAGAAAUCGAGCUGAAGACGAGCCAGGCCAUAAAAGCAUACUUGGAAAGAAAUGUUUAGAUGAGACCAUGCAACUGUUUGCAUGAACCAGGCAGCUGCCUAGUCUCAGACCCUCAAGUUCACUACCUGUGACACGGGGAUGGCAAGCCUUAGGGAAGCUGCAAGAAGUUUGCAGAGACCAGGUGCAGUGGCACACGUCUUUAAUCCCAGUGUUCUGGAGGUAGAACAGAGGCUGUUGGAGAAAACCAACAAGAGAUUGUGUGGUAUCCAGUCCCAACUGACAUCUACAGCAUAACUCCUGCGCCCAAGUCUCUGGGGACAUCGCUGAAGAAAAAGGAAAAGAUUGGAAGAGCCAGAGGAAUAGGAAGUUGACUGUGCAGUUGAGUCUCAUAGAAAAGUCAGAGGAGCUACAGCCACGAAGUCUCACCUGUAUGGCUGCCUAAUCAAGAUUUGAACAAGGAUGUGAGCAACAGACCUGCUGACCUGGGAGGGGAAGUCUCGUGAGCCUCCAACGCUGAGCAAGCAACGACAGGCAACUAAGCAGUUCUGAGGUUGUGGAGCUGAGGAAACAGUCUUCCCCAGGGAAGAGCCUCCGAUGGGUUAUGGACUGCCAAGUGGUCAGCCUUCAGAUUUUAUAUGAUUUAUAUAAUACAUAUAUAAUAUAAAUGCUAUACAUAUAAUGUGUUAUAUAAUACAU